rnacentral:rRNA from 1 species
UACAGGGGGGGCAAGCGUUGUUCGGAAUUACUGGGCGUAAAGCGUGCGCAGGCGGUUUUGUAAGCCAGAUGUGAAAUCCCCGGGCUUAACCUGGGAAUGGCAUUUGGGACUGCAAGGCUCGAGUGCGGCAGAGGAGACUGGAAUUCCUGGUGUAGCAGUGAAAUGCGCAGAUAUCAGGAGGAACACCGGUGGCGAAGGCGGCAUUCUGGACCGAUAUUGACGCUGAGGAGCGAAAGCCAGGGGAGCAAACGGG